rnacentral:rRNA from 1 species
CACGUAGGCGGCUUCGUAAGUCUGGUGUGAAAUCUCACGGCUCAACCGGGAGGCUGCACCAGAUACUGCGAAGCUCGAGGACGGGAGAGGAGAUUGGAAUUCCCGGUGUAGCGGUGAAAUGCAUUGAUAUCGGGAGGAACACCAGUGGCGAAGGCGGAUCUCUGGCCCGUUGCUGACGCUGAGGUGCGAAAGCUGGGGGAGCGAAAGGGAUUAGAUACCCCUGUAGUCCCAGCCCUAAACGAUGGGCGCUAGGUGUUGGGGGAUUAACCCUCGGCGCCGUAGCUAACGCAUUAAGCGCCCCGCCUGGGGAGUACGGCCGCAAGAUUGAAACUCAAAGGAAUUGACGGGGGCCCGCACAAGCGGUGGAGCAUGUGGAUUAAUUCGAUACAAACCGAAGAACCUUACCUGGGCUUGACAUCCACGAGAAACGCCUAGAAAUAGGCGCCUCGGGAAACUGACCCGUGGACACCGGUUGCAUGGCUGUCGUCAGCUCGUGUCGUGAGAUGUUGGGUUAAGUCCCGCAACGAGCGCAACCCCUG